rnacentral:rRNA from 1 species
CAGUUAUUGGGUAUCAAAACCUAAUAGCGAAAUUAACAUAACUUAUAUGGGAUUAGUUUUUAGAUUAUUUAUAGUCUAUUAAUUCAAUCCCGGGGCGUUCUAUUUGGUUAUGUAUAAUAAUAUUUAUAUUAUUUAUACCUCUAACUAGAGCGUACCUUGAGCAUAUAUGCUGUGACCCGAAAGAUGGUGAACUAUACUUGAUCAGGUUGAAGUCAGGGGAAACCCUGAUGGAAGACCGAAACAGUUCUGACGUGCAAAUCGAUUGUCAGAAUUGAGUAUAGGGGCGAAAGACCAAUCGAACCAUCUAGUAGCUGGUUCCCUCCGAAGUUUCCCUCAGGAUAGCUGGUGCAUUUAGAAAUUAUGUAAAAUAAUCUUAUCUGGUAAAGCGAAUGAUUAGAGGCCUUAGGGUCGAAACGACCUUAACCUAUUCUCAAACUUUAAAUGGGUAAGAACCUCACCUUUCUUGGUAUGAAGGUUGUGGUUGUGAUAUAAUGUGCCCAGUGGGCCACUUUUGGUAAGCAGAACUGGCGCUGUGGGAUGAACCAAACGUAAUGUUACGGUGCCCAAAUUAACAACUCAUGCAGAUACCAUGAAAGGCGUUGGUUGCUUAAAACAGCA